GCGAUUGGGAGCAGCGCAAACGCAUCAAUUUGUUCAACGAGACGACGAUCAUCCCAUCAGGGCAGCUAUUGAAGUCAUAUUUGUGUUCUACAAUGACACAAGAUAGACUGAAUGAUUUGGCCAUAAUCGCACUCGAGAGUGAGAUGUUGGAGAAGAUUGCAUAUGAGAACAUCGUCGAAGAUUUCAUUUCAAAGAACACCAAAAGAAUGAUGUUGUUCAAGUAAAGACUAUGCAAUCGAGGUUCGAAAUGGGCCUCUGAUUUUGUCGGGAUGGCCCUGUCUACACUCUAUAAGCAUUGGUGAGUUUGCCAUGCAUCGAAAUUUGAGAGCUAAAGGGCUUGAAGGUGAAGCAUGUCAUUCGCAUAUUUUUUGCUUGUGGCCAUUUGUGUGUGGCUUCUUUACAAUAUCAAGAAUCCACGAGACAUGAAGAACGAUGAGAAAAUCGGGAGGAAGGAGCUGAGGCCGCGGAUGGAUGGGGUUGAGAGAGGCAGAGGCGAAGAAGUGGAGAGUGGAGAGCGCGAUGGCGAAGAGAUGGAUGAAUGGGAGAAGGAGAGGAGCGGAGAGGUUCGAGUUGAGGUAGAAGUAGAGCAUGAUCAAAUGCAAGAUCUCAUUGAUGAAGACGACAAGGAUUAAUUUUUGGGAUUUUCAUGAAAAAAGAAGAGGUGGAUUGAUGAAUAUUGUAUGAUUUGAAGGCAACCAAAAAUGCAACUUUUUUUAGAGGUGUGUAUAGUACAAA